rnacentral:rRNA from 1 species
AUUGAACGCUGGCGGCAUGCCUUACACAUGCAAGUCGAACGGCAGCACGGGUGCUUGCACCUGGUGGCGAGUGGCGAACGGGUGAGUAAUACAUCGGAACAUGUCCUGUAGUGGGGAUAGCCCGGCGAAAGCCGGAUUAAUACCGCAUACGAUCUACGGAUGAAAGCGGGGGACCUUCGUGCCUCGCGCUAUAGGGUUGGCCGAUGGCUGAUUAGCUAGUUGGUGGGGUAAAGGCCUACCAAGGGGACGAUCAGGAGCUGGUCGGAGAGGAGGAACAGCCACACUGGGACUGAGACACGGUCCAGACUCCUACGGGAGGCAGCAGUGGGGAAUUUUGGGCAAUGGGCGGAAGCCUGACGCAGCAAAGCCGCGUGGGUGAAGAAGGUCUUCGGGUUGUAAAACUCUUUUUUUCGGGAAGAAAAUCUUUGGCCCUAAAUGGGCCGGGGAUGACGGUACCCAAAAAAAAAGCCACGGCUAACCACGGG